rnacentral:rRNA from 1 species
GACGAACGCUGGCGGCGUGCUUAACACAUGCAAGUCGAACGAUGAAGCCGGAGCUUGCUCUGGUGAAUUAGUGGCGAACGGGUGAGUAACACGUGAGUAACCUGCCCUUGACUCUGGGAUAACUGCUAGAAAUGGUAGCUAAUACCGGAUACGACCCUCGGAGGCAUCUCCAGGGGGUGGAAAGAAUUUCGGUCAAGGAUGGACUCGCGGCCUAUCAGCUAGUUGGUGAGGUAACGGCUCACCAAGGCGACGACGGGUAGCCGGCCUGAGAGGGUGAUCGGCCACACUGGGACUGAGACACGGCCCAGACUCCUACGGGAGGCAGCAGUGGGGAAUAUUGCACAAUGGGCGCAAGCCUGAUGCAGCAACGCCGCGUGAGGGACGACGGCCUUCGGGUUGUAAACCUCUUUUAGUAGGGAAGAAGCGAAAGUGACGGUGCCUGCAGAAAAAGCACCGGCUAACUACGUGCCAGCCGCCGCUGUAA